rnacentral:rRNA from 1 species
GUACACAAAAAUGCACAUAUUGUGAGCUCGAUGAGUAGGGCGGGACACGUGGUAUCCUGUCUGAAUAUGGGGGGACCAUCCUCCAAGGCUAAAUACUCCUGACUGACCGAUAGUGAACCAGUACCGUGAGGGAAAGGCGAAAAGAACCCCGGCGAGGGGAGUGAAAAAGAACCUGAAACCGUGUACGUACAAGCAGUGGGAGCCUCUUUAUGGGGUGACUGCGUACCUUUUGUAUAAUGGGUCAGCGACUUAUAUUCUGUAGCAAGGUUAACCGAAUAGGGGAGCCGAAGGGAAACCGAGUCUUAACUGGGCGUUAAGUUGCAGGGUAUAGACCCGAAACCCGGUGAUCUAGCCAUGGGCAGGUUGAAGGUUGGGUAACACUAACUGGAGGACCGAACCGACUAAUGUUGAAAAAUUAGCGGAUGACUUGUGGCUGGGGGUGAAAGGCCAAUCAAACCGGGAGAUAGCUGGUUCUCCCCGAAAGCUAUUUAGGUAGCGCCUCGUGAAUUCAUCUCCGGGGGUAGAGCACUGUUUCGGCAAGGGGGUCAUCCCGACUUACCAACCCGAUGCAAACUGCGAAUACCGGAGAAUGUUAUCACGGGAGACACACGGCGGGUGCUAACGUCCGUCGUGAAGAGGGAAACAACCCAGACCGCCAGCUAAGGUCCCAAAGUCAUGGUUAAGUGGGAAACGAUGUGGGAAGGCCCAGACAGCCAGGAUGUUGGCUUAGAAGCAGCCAUCAUUUAAAGAAAGCGUAAUAGCUCACUGGUCGAGUCGGCCUGCGCGGAAGAUGUAACGGGGCUAAACCAUGCACCGAAGCUGCGGCAGCGACACUAUGUGUUGUUGGGUAGGGGAGCGUUCUGUAAGCCUGUGAAGGUGGCCUGUGAGGGUUGCUGGAGGUAUCAGAAGUGCGAAUGCUGACAUAAGUAACGAUAAAGCGGGUGAAAAGCCCGCUCGCCGGAAGACCAAGGGUUCCUGUCCAACGUUAAUCGGGGCAGGGUGAGUCGACCCCUAAGGCGAGGCCGAAAGGCGUAGUCGAUGGGAAACAGGUUAAUAUUCCUGUACUUGGUGUUACUGCGAAGGGGGGACGGAGAAGGCUAUGUUGGCCGGGCGACGGUUGUCCCGGUUUAAGCGUGUAGGCUGGUUUUCCAGGCAAAUCCGGAAAACCAAGGCUGAGGCGUGAUGACGAGGCACUACGGUGCUGAAGCGACAAAUGCCCUGCUUCCAGGAAAAGCCUCUAAGCAUCAGGUAACAUCAAAUCGUACCCCAAACCGACACAGGUGGUCAGGUAGAGAAUACCAAGGCGCUUGAGAGAACUCGGGUGAAGGAACUAGGCAAAAUGGUGCCGUAACUUCGGGAGAAGGCACGCUGAUAUGUAGGUGAAGCGACUUGCUCGUGGAGCUGAAAUCAGUCGAAGAUACCAGCUGGCUGCAACUGUUUAUUAAAAACACAGCACUGUGCAAACACGAAAGUGGACGUAUACGGUGUGACGCCUGCCCGGUGCCGGAAGGUUAAUUGAUGGGGUUAGCGGUAACGCGAAGCUCUUGAUCGAAGCCCCGGUAAACGGCGGCCGUAACUAUAACGGUCCUAAGGUAGCGAAAUUCCUUGUCGGGUAAGUUCCGACCUGCACGAAUGGCGUAAUGAUGGCCAGGCUGUCUCCACCCGAGACUCAGUGAAAUUGAACUCGCUGUGAAGAUGCAGUGUACCCGCGGCAAGACGGAAAGACCCCGUGAACCUUUACUAUAGCUUGACACUGAACAUUGAGCCUUGAUGUGUAGGAUAGGUGGGAGGCUUUGAAGUGUGGACGCCAGUCUGCAUGGAGCCGACCUUGAAAUACCACCCUUUAAUGUUUGAUGUUCUAACGUUGGCCCGUAAUCCGGGUUGCGGACAGUGUCUGGUGGGUAGUUUGACUGGGGCGGUCUCCUCCUAAAGAGUAACGGAGGAGCACGAAGGUUGGCUAAUCCUGGUCGGACAUCAGGAGGUUAGUGCAAUGGCAUAAGCCAGCUUGACUGCGAGCGUGACGGCGCGAGCAGGUGCGAAAGCAGGUCAUAGUGAUCCGGUGGUUCUGAAUGGAAGGGCCAUCGCUCAACGGAUAAAAGGUACUCCGGGGAUAACAGGCUGAUACCGCCCAAGAGUUCAUAUCGACGGCGGUGUUUGGCACCUCGAUGUCGGCUCAUCACAUCCUGGGGCUGAAGUAGGUCCCAAGGGUAUGGCUGUUCGCCAUUUAAAGUGGUACGCGAGCUGGGUUUAGAACGUCGUGAGACAGUUCGGUCCCUAUCUGCCGUGGGCGCUGGAGAACUGAGGGGGGCUGCUCCUAGUACGAGAGGACCGGAGUGGACGCAUCACUGGUGUUCGGGUUGUCAUGCCAAUGGCACUGCCCGGUAGCUAAAUGCGGAAGAGAUAAGUGCUGAAAGCAUCUAAGCACGAAACUUGCCCCGAGAUGAGUUCUCCCUGACUCCUUGAGAGUCCUGAAGGAACGUUGAAGACGACGACGUUGAUAGGCCGGGUGUGUAAGCGCAGCGAUGCGUUGAGCUAACCGGUACUAAUGAACCGUGAG